rnacentral:rRNA from 1 species
ACGCACGCUGGCGGCGUGCUUAACACCUGCAAGUCGCACGGAAAGGCCCUGCUUUUGUGGGGUGCUCGAGUGGCGAACGGGUGAGUAACACGUGAGUAACCUACCCUUGACUUUGGGAUAACUUCAGGAAACUGGGGCUAAUACCGGAUAGGAGCUCCUGCUGCAUGGUGGGGGUUGGAAAGUUUCGGCGGUUGGGGAUGGACUCGCGGCUUAUCAGCUUGUUGGUGGGGUAGUGGCUUACCAAGGCUUUGACGGGUAGCCGGCCUGAGAGGGUGACCGGCCACAUUGGGACUGAGAUACGGCCCAGACUCCUACGGGGGGCAGCAGUGGGGAAUAUUGCACAAUGGGCGGAAGCCUGAUGCAGCAACGCCGCGUGCGGGAUGACGGCCUUCGGGUUGUAAACCGCUUUCGCCUGUGACGAAGCGUGAGUGACGGUAAUGGGUAAAGAAGCACCGGCUAACUACGUG